rnacentral:rRNA from 1 species
GACGAACGCUGGCGGCGUGCUUAACACAUGCAAGUCGAGCGGAGCGGCGAACGGGUGAGUAACGCGUGAGUAACUGCCCCCCUCUCUGGGAUAACAGUUGGAAACGGCUGCUAAUACCGGAUAGUGGGGGAUGACUCGCGUCCUAUCAGCUUGUUGGUGGGGUAGUGGCCUACCAAGGCGACGACGGGGAGCCGGCCUGAGAGGGCGACCGGCCAGACUGGGGUGUGAUAAGGCCCAAGCUCGUACGGGGGGCAGCGGCUGGGAAUAAGGCACCUGGGGGGCAACCCUGGGGCCGGUAGAAGAGUGCGCGUUGCAUGUAUGCGGUUUCUAAACCGAUUUCAGCCGGGACGGGUUAGUUGUUUAUGAAGAACCGGGUAACGACGUGCCAGCCGCCGCGGUAAUAC